rnacentral:rRNA from 1 species
UACGUAGGCAGCAAGCGUUGUUCGGAGUUACUGGGCGUAAAGAGUGUGUAGGCGGUUCUCUAAGUUCGGUGUGAAAUCUCCCGGCUCAACUGGGAGGGUGCGCCGGAAACUGGAGGGCUUGAGUAUGGGAGAGGAAAGCGGAAUUCCUGGUGUAGCGGUGAAAUGCGCAGAUAUCAGGAAGAACACCCGUGGCGAAGGCGGUUCUCUGGGACGGUACUGACGCUGAGACGCGAAAGCGUGGGGAGCGAACAGG